rnacentral:tRNA from 1 species
GGAUCUGUAGUUAAAGUUUAUAAUAGGGGUUUUGUAAACCUCAGUUAAAUGGUAUUUUUGGGUCUA